rnacentral:lncRNA from 10 species
UGCCAUGGUAAGAAGUGCUGGCUUCCCCUUUGCCUUUCGCCAUGAUUGCAAGUUUCCUGAAGGCUUCCAGUCAUGCUUCCUGUUAUGUCUGCAGAACUACUAUUCUGGAAUUUAAUGCAUUAAUAUCAACUGCAACUUUCCAAGAAUAGAAUAUAGCCUGAAGAAUUUAUCAAAUUUAUCCAACCGUGAGUUCCGUUUCAUGAGGAGCACCCAUUAACAUGUCUCAUGUGAGUGUUCU